rnacentral:rRNA from 1 species
UACGUAGGGUGCAAGCGUUGUCCGGAAUUAUUGGGCGUAAAGAGUGUGUAGGCGGUGCUCCAAGUCUGGUGUGAAAUCUCCCGGCUUAACUGGGAGGGUGCAUUAGAAACUGGAAUGCUAGAGGAUGGGAGAGGUAAGCGGAAUUCCUGGUGUAGCGGUGAAAUGCGUAGAUAUCAGGAGGAACACCUGUGGUGUAGACAGCUUACUGGACCAUUUCUGACGCUGAGACACGAAAGCGUGGGUAGCAAACAGG